rnacentral:rRNA from 1 species
AACGAUGAAGCUUCUAGCUUGCUAGAAAGUGGAUUAGUGGCGCACGGGUGAGUAAUGCAUAGGUUAUGUGCCCCAUAGUCUGGGAUAGCCACUGGAAACGGUGAUUAAUACUAGAUACUCCUUACGAGGGAAAGUUUUUCGCUAUGGGAUCAGCCUAUGUCCUAUCAGCUAGUUGGUGAGGUAAUGGCUCACCAAGGCUAUGACGGGUAUCCGGCCUGAGAGGGUGAACGGACACACUGGAACUGAGACACGGUCCAGACUCCUACGGGAGGCAGCAGUAGGGAAUAUUGCUCAAUGGGCGAAAGCCUGAAGCAGCAACGCCGCGUGGAGGAUGAAGGUUUUAGGAUUGUAAACUCCUUU